UCUGAAUUUAAUAUUAGAGAUGGUUUGAUUAAUAAUUAUUUUGCAAGAUUAUAACUUUUUUAUGGCAUGGGUGUAUGGGUGGUAUGGUGAAGGACUAACAUAUUCUAUACUGUUUAUAUUGCUUAUUGCAUGCCUUUGGUAAAGAAAUAAAAUAUUUGACAAAAAUAAUAUGCCUUUACUAACUGAAUUACAGCCUACAGAUUUUAUUAAUUUAGACCAAAAGUUAACUUCAUUGACAACAAACAGAAAACUAGUUUUCUCUAAAUUUAAUUUUAUACUAAUAUGUGAGAUACAUAGUUUAAUUAUUAUUAUUUUGCAAGGUAUGUUAAUAUUUAGAUUAUUUUUAACUUCAAAGAAAACAAAUCUCAAAUUAUAAUUUUAAAGCUGUCUUAUUUUCAGAUUAUAACUAUUUUAUGGUAUGGAUGUGAAAUAUGGUGAAGGAUUAACAUAAUAUAUUGCUAUUGCAUGCUUUUGGUGGAGAAAUAAAAUGUUUGACAAAAAUAA